rnacentral:rRNA from 1 species
UACGUAGGGUGCGAGCGUUAAUCGGAAUUACUGGGCGUAAAGCGUGCGCAGGCGGUGAUGUAAGACCGAUGUGAAAUCCCCGGGCUUAACCUGGGAACUGCAUUGGUGACUGCAUUGCUGGAGUAUGGCAGAGGGGGGUGGAAUUCCACGUGUAGCAGUGAAAUGCGCAGAGAUGUGGAGGAACACCGAUGGCGAAGGCAGCCCCCUGGGCCAAUACUGACGCUCAUGCACGAAAGCGUGGGGAGCAAACAGG